rnacentral:rRNA from 1 species
CGUAUCACUUAAAGCGAUUCAGCGGGUUACGAUUGACGGAGCGAAGCGACGUCAAAGCGUAUACAAAGUCGAGUCGGUUUAAGGAUACGUUCGUUGGGUAGGGGAGCGUUCUGUAAGCCUGUGAAGGUGUGUCGUGAGGCAUGCUGGAGGUAUCAGAAGUGCGAAUGCUGACAUAAGUAACGAUAAAGCGGGUGAAAAGCCCGCUCGCCGGAAGACCAAGGGUUCCUGUCCAACGUUAAUCGGGGCAGGGUGAGUCGACCCCUAAGGCGAGGCCGAAAGGCGUAGUCGAUGGGAAACGGGUUAAUAUUCCCGUACUUGGUGUUACUGCGAAGGGGGGACGGAGAAGGCUAUGUUGGCCGGGCGACGGUUGUCCCGGUUUAAGCGUGUAGGCUGGUUUUCCAGGCAAAUCCGGAAAAUCAAGGCUGAGGCGUGAUGACGAGGCACUACGGUGCUGAAGCAACAAAUGCCCUGCUUCCAGGAAAAGCCUCUAAGCAUCAGGUAACAUCAAAUCGUACCCCAAACCGACACAGGUGGUCAGGUAGAGAAUACCAAGGCGCUUGAGAGAACUCGGGUGAAGGAACUAGGCAAAAUGGUGCCGUAACUUCGGGAGAAGGCACGCUGACAUGUAGGUGAAGUGAUUUACUCAUGGAGCUGAAGUCAGUCGAAGAUACCAGCUGGCUGCAACUGUUUAUUAAAAACACAGCACUGUGCAAACACGAAAGUGGACGUAUACGGUGUGACGCCUGCCCGGUGCCGGAAGGUUAAUUGAUGGGGUCAGCGCAAGCGAAGCUCCUGAUCGAAGCCCCGGUAAACGGCGGCCGUAACUAUAACGGUCCUAAGGUAGCGAAAUUCCUUGUCGGGUAAGUUCCGACCUGCACGAAUGGCGUAAUGAUGGCCAGGCUGUCUCCACCCGAGACUCAGUGAAAUUGAACUCGCUGUGAAGAUGCAGUGUACCCGCGGCAAGACGGAAAGACCCCGUGAACCUUUACUAUAGCUUGACACUGAACAUUGAGCCUUGAUGUGUAG